rnacentral:rRNA from 1 species
CCCCCAUUGGAGCCGGCCCCGCUUUUCGAUUUAGCCUAGUUUGGUGAGGUAAAAGGCCUCCACCCAAGGGCGACGAUCAGUUAGUUGGUCUGAGAGGAUGAUUCAGCCCCCAUUGGGACUGGAGACACGGCCCCAAACUCCUUACGGGAGGCAGCAGUGGGGAAUCUUGCCCAAUGGGCGAAAGCCUGACGCAGCCAUGCCGCGUGAAUGAUGAAGGUCUUAGGAUUGUAAAAUUCUUUCACCGGGGACGAUAAUGACGGUACCCGGAGAAGAAGCCCCGGCUAACUUCGUGCCAGCAGCCGCGGUAAUACGAAGGGGGCUAGCGUUGCUCGGAAUUACUGGGCGUAAAGGGAGCGUAGGCGGACUGUUUAGUCAGAGGUGAAAGCUCCAGGGCUCAACCUUGGAAUUGCCUUUGAUACUGGCAGUCUUGAGUACGGAAGAGGUAUGUGGAACUCCGAGUGUAGAGGUGAAAUUCGUAGAUAUUCGGAAGAACACCAGUGGCGAAGGCGACAUACUGGUCCGUUACUGACGCUGAGGCUCGAAAGCGUGGGGAGCAAACAGGACUUAGAUACCCUGGUAGUCCACGCCGUAAACGAUGAGUCU